AUUGAACGCUGGCGGCAGGCCUAACACAUGCAAGUCGAACGAGUGGCGGACGGGUGAGUAAUGUCUGGGAAACUGCCUGAUGGAGGGGGAUAACUACUGGAAACGGUAGCUAAUACCGCAUACCAUCGGAUGUGCCCAGAUGGGAUUAGCUAGUAGGUGGGGUAAAGGCUCACCUAGGCGACGAUCCCUAGCUGGUCUGAGAGGAUGACCAGCCACACUGGAACUGGGACACGGUCCAGACUCCUACGGGAGGCAGCGGUGGGGAGUAUGGGACAAUGUGCGCAAGCCGGAUGCAGCCCGGCCGCGUGUAUGAAGAAGGCCUUCGGGUUGUAAAGUACUUUCAGCGGGGAGGCGUUACCCGCCGUUGAAGCCCCGGCUAACUACGUGACAGCAGCCGCGGUAAUUC
rnacentral:rRNA from 1 species